CAGUACCCGUGAAAUAUUUAUAGUGUCUUCUCCACUCUCCAAUCGGCCACUUCGGCGAUUGGAACAGCAAAUUGCCGACCUCCUUCUAUUUGAUUGGUUUAAGAAAGAAAGAAUGAAUCACGUGCAGUCGACAGAGAAUCAGAAUCAAACUUCGACACCCCACACCCCUCCCUCCACCUCGUCUUCUCCACUCUCCAAUCGUCUCAGAUCAGAUCUACUGCCAACCCUUAUUUUUUUUUAUUAAUAAUUCAAUGAACGAGCCCUACAGUACAGCGGUUUCUCGAUUCUUGAAAAAUUCAGAUACCAGAGUUAGUUAGUUAGUUAGUUUAUAGUUGAUCGAUUUGAAUUCAGAAUGAAGGAGAGAAAAUCCGUGAAGUUCAAUCUUCAGCAGCAACUGUAUCAGAACGGUCACUUGUCUCCGUUCAACCUCGCCAAAUUGCUCGACCCCGAUGCCUCUUGGGACAAGGAUCAAUUAGGAGAUGUAUUGCAUUGGAUACGACAAGUGGUGGCCCUUGUAUGUGGUUUGCUUUGGGGUGCCAUACCAUUAGUUGGUGGCAUAUGGAUCGUUGUGUUCCUGGUGAUAUCUUCUGGGAUUAUAUACUCUUAUUACACGAUGAUACUAAAAAUCGAUGAAGAAGAAUUUGGUGGCCACUGGGCUCUCCUCCAAGAGGGGCUUUUUGUUUCUAUAAUGCUCUUUCUGCUUGCGUGGAUUCUCGUAUAUAGCUUAGCACAUUUCUGAUUGCUGGGAUCCAAACUUAGCAGUUAGCACUCCUCCCGCCUCUCUCUCUGACUGAGAGUUGAAUUAUCUGGGCUCAGUGUUUACAAGAUUUUACCUUACUGUCCUGACAACAACAAUGUGAAAGUUUCCCAAGGGUUGAAUUUUCCAGAUUGGAUGGAUACAUGGUUUUGGGUUAUGGGGCUGAGAGAAGACCAAUCAAGAACAUAAAGCAGCAAGUACCAAACAACGAACAAGGUAAAUGCAACCAACCAUAAAUGAUUGCGGCAUCUUAAUAUGAUGGCUGAGCUCUCCAUCUUCUUCUCUCUUCGGGCUUUUGCAUUGACGAGUCUCCUUUGGGUCAUCAAGUUCCUGGGAAACGUCUGGUGAGUAUGAUGAUAGAAACCAUUUCUAGAGAGAUACAAAAGUAGUCAGAAGAUGUGGUGGAGCAAUAAUAGGAAUUCAAUUUGGGAAAGAAAAUUUUCAAGAUGAAUUGACCAAUUGAUUGAGAUGUAACACAAGAAUUGCACAGAGAGAGAGAGAGAGAGAGAGAGAGAGAGAGAGAGAGAAUUGAAACUGAACCAAUCAGGGGAAAAUCUUCUAAAAAUGGCAUCAUUAGGAUGGAUACGUUCGAUUCUUAAUUAGGAGACAAAUUUGUGUAAUUUGUUACUGGUAUUUUCCCUACUUCUCAGCGUUGAAGUGCUAUUUAAAUGGGAUGGACGGCCGCCUUGCAUUUAGGAGCGUCCGUUUGCUAAUGGUUUGGAUUA